rnacentral:rRNA from 1 species
GAUGAACGCUGGCGGCGUGCCUAAUACAUGCAAGUCGAGCGAACAGACGAGGAGCUUGCUCCUCUGACGUUAGCGGCGGACGGGUGAGUAACACGUGGAUAGCCUACCUAUAAGACUGGGAUAACUUCGGGAAACCGGAGCUAAUACCGGAUAAUAUAUUGAACCGCAUGGUUCAAUAGUGAAAGACGGUUUUGCUGUCACUUAUAGAUGGAUCCGCGCCGCAUUAGCUAGUUGGUAAGGUAACGGCUUACCAAGGCGACGAUGCGUAGCCGACCUGAGAGGGUGAUCGGCCACACUGGAACUGAGACACGGUCCAGACGCCUACGGGAGGCAGCAGUAGGGAAUCUUCCGCAAUGGGCGAAAGCUUGACGGAGCAACGCCGCGUGAGUGAUGAAGGUCUUCGGAUCGUAAAACUCUGUUAUUAGGGAAGAACAAAUGUGUAAGUAACUAUGCACGUCUUGACGGUACCUAAUCAGAAAGCCACGGCUAACUACGUG